rnacentral:rRNA from 1 species
GACGAGGGAUCCUAGCGUUGUUCGGAAUCAUUGGGCGUAAAGCGGGUGUAGGCGGACUUAUAAGUCAGAUGUGAAAUCCCAGGGCUUAACUCUGGAAGUGCAUUUGAUACUGUAAGUCUUGAAUGUGGUAGAGGUUACUGGAAUUCCUGGUGUAGUGGUGAAAUACGUAGAUAUCAGGAGGAAUACCGGAGGCGAAGGCGGGUAACUGGGCCAACAUUGACGCUGAGAUCCGAAAGCGUGGGGAUCAAACAGG